GCGGGGAGCGGUGCGAGUGCCUUGGUUGGGGGGGAAAUUUUGGCGAGCCGAGAUAGGGGGAGGGAAAAGACUGGGGGGGUGUGUAGCGCCGACGCCGCUGCUCCGCUGCUCCUUUUUUGAGUGACGUCUAUUCUCUCCCUCCCCGCUCGCUCUCUCUUCCCUCUCCGCCGCGCGGCUCGGUCGGGUGAAGGCGGGCGCCGGUACCGGCCGCGGCUGGGGUUGGCCUCGAAGUACUUCCUGCACUUCGCGUAGUAGUAGUUCCACCCGUGACGUCAAUAGUGGUCUUUACUACCUUCUGACCGAAACCCGUCCUAACCUCGGGACACGCUCGUCCAGUUCCUAGAAUUACGAGUUCCUAUACUCCACUAAUACCAGUGGAGCCCGCGACAACCACACCCCGCUGUCGCCGAGUCCAUGGCGUUCGAGCAGUUAUCGUCGAAACGACUAGACGUCUUCGGUGUCUACCUCGACCUGCCCUUCCGGACGCGACGACAACCAGUCUCACCCGACUACCGUGAGAUACUGUACAACAAAUGGGUUGAACUACACAGUAGUAGUGUUGAAGAGCACUGUCUAUCACUGAAGCUGUUAAGUUUAAAGGCCCUCGCUGAGGCGCUUUGACAGCUCAGUAAUAAUCUCGAAUCUCAAUAAGGUUAUAAAUUACUUUUACUACGGUAGUCAUGCUCCUUCCGAGGUAUGCUCCUAAGUAGACCAUAUAAGACCCUAUUACUGUCAAACCGUCCAGAUGACCGUAACCUUGACUUUCGACUAGAGGAACAAGACGAAUCACUACACCUACCGGAGAUGUCGCCAGGUGGUUCACUUGGAAGUAGCUUCAAUUAUGUAUGAAUAUAGUUCCUUUUUGUAAUAGUACUUUAAUGAAAACCUCUGUUCAGGGCACAACCAUCUCCACCGUACUGUCGAUUUCAGGUUCGACGACACACCCGAAGUUGCCCACCACAUGGACAACAAUAAUGUUCACCUACACGUAGAGUCUCGGAACAAUUUCAAGAGGCACCCCUUUUUUAACCAUGGGAAAAAGUAUUUUUACGUUCAAACACCCUUGGUAGGUUCCUGUGGUCACAGGCACUUUACCGACAACGACGUGCCCUAACAAGUUCCGUAGAUGUCUUAAACAGUAGUCUCCUCGCGUUCUUUUAUAAUAAUCUACAACGCCUACGAAAUCUCCGUUUACUCCUAAAUUAAUCUAGGCUCUUACUUCGUCUAAAUCGUCGUCGUGUACUCCGACCCAUACUCUCACGAAACCAAAGAUCUAACUGAGACUUUGGUCCUUUCUAUCGUUCGGAACGGUUUAGACAAGCGUGAGAACGCUUAUACCUUCUGGGAUAAUUGCUCUAUGACUUUUCCUGUCUCCAACGACUACCAAAUCAAGAACUCUUUUGUAGAACGGGAAACCCACAAGAUAACUAAUAAAAACUCAGGGCUGGACUACGGAAUCAGGUCUAACGCAGAAAUCGGUAAGCUUCACCAUUACCAGAAGAGGAUUUUCCACCUUUUCUUCGUUACUCUAGUUUGCGUUAUAACGUAUUCCAAUAUUGGUUACGAUAAGGACUGUUACAACCACUUUUUAACUAACCGGAAUAAUGUUGAUCUCUACUUUAACGCCUAAACGACUUCGUACUACUACAGUAACUAGAACAGUAAGGUUCUCCCUCAUUAUUCGAACAACGAGUUUAGUUUAGUAGUUGUUUCUAAGGACAAGAACCGGUACGACUACCACAAACAGUACAUAUAUAACUGUUUAGUCGUCUGUACCUAUACCGUUUUGCAUAACACUACCUACGUUUUUAACUAAUGGGUCGACGGACGUUGCGUUACCUCUGCAACGAACAAGUAUUUCUAGAAUACUUCUAAGGUCUUGAAUUACUGUAUGAUCAUCGUGAGUUCUGUCGUCCUCAAUUAGAAAUAACGCCCGGACAACGCGUAUUUCAUAACCCGAUGGGCUUUCGUCUAAGUAAUGUAGACCUCAUGUCAAGAUACCGAACGUGUCAACUCUAUCAACUACUACAUGUUAGUCGUUAACUGGUAUAUGUAGCGAUACCUUCACGUGUAUGUCUGACACACCAGUGAUGUCUACUAUUUCAUCGUCUCUGGAAAGAUGCAGUUCAACUAUCACGACGGCAUAAUAUGUUGCGCUCAUGUUCUAAGAGACUACCACGAGCAAAACCUGAGCCACGACUCCAACCGUAUUCAUGUCCGGCAUAUGUACGUGCACCUGGACACCCACAACUUCCAGAAAAUUGAUGUGCUACCGAGAAUGCUCCCUUUCCCGUUCACCACUUACCACUGUUCCUACAACUUAUGUGGGUAUUCUCAGAAGGAAACGUUACUCUUUUACCACACCAUUCCUAAGGCGCUUUUGGGAGACUUCAUACUCUCAGAGUAGUCUGAUUCCUUUCUUUUGGUCAGCUAGUUAAUUAAACACAUGUUUGGUAGAAUAACACCACCUAGCCACCUAGUUAAACAUACUCGAACCUCCGAAGCCGAGAGGCCACAAUAUUAUUUUUGUUUGGUCGUUAAGAUCCUCACUCUCAUGAUCACACGGCUAUGAUAUUCGUCAUACAAACAACCAGGGCCAUUAGGUCGUCUAACCAGCAAGAACGAUAAUUUCAACACGUAACUCCGGUGGAGCCUGCACGGUAUGAAGUGAGCAUGAGGGCCG
rnacentral:rRNA from 1 species